rnacentral:rRNA from 1 species
AUUGAACGCUGGCGGCAGGCUUAACACAUGCAAGUCGAACGAUGACUCUCUAGCUUGCUAGAGAAGAUUAGUGGCGGACGGGUGAGUAACAUUUAGGAAUCUGCCUAGUAGUGGGGGAUAGCUCGGGGAAACUCGAAUUAAUACCGCAUACGACCUACGGGUGAAAGGGGGCGCAAGCUCUUGCUAUUAGAUGAGCCUAAAUCAGAUUAGCUAGUUGGUGGGGUAAAGGCCUACCAAGGCGACGAUCUGUAACUGGUCUGAGAGGAUGAUCAGUCACACCGGAACUGAGACACGGUCCGGACUCCUACGGGAGGCAGCAGUGGGGAAUAUUGGACAAUGGGGGCAACCCUGAUCCAGCCAUGCCGCGUGUGUGAAGAAGGCCUUUUGGUUGUAAAGCACUUUAAGCAGGGAGGAGAGGCUAAUGGUUAAUACCCAUUAGAUUAGACGUUACCUGCAGAAUAAGCACCGGCUAACUCUGUGCCAGCAGCCGCGGUAAUACAGAGGGUGCGAGCGUUAAUCGGAAUUACUGGGCGUAAAGCGAGUGUAGGUGGCUCAUUAAGUCACAUGUGAAAUCCCCGGGCUUAACCUGGGAACUGCAUGUGAUACUGGUGGUGCUAGAAUAUGUGAGAGGGAAGUAGAAUUCCAGGUGUAGCGGUGAAAUGCGUAGAGAUCUGGAGGAAUACCGAUGGCGAAGGCAGCUUCCUGGCAUAAUAUUGACACUGAGAUUCGAAAGCGUGGGUAGCAAACAGGAUUAGAUACCCUGGUAGUCCACGCCGUAAACGAUGUCUACUAGCCGUUGGGGUCCUUGAGACUUUAGUGGCGCAGUUAACGCGAUAAGUAGACCGCCUGGGGAGUACGGCCGCAAGGUUAAAACUCAAAUGAAUUGACGGGGGCCCGCACAAGCGGUGGAGCAUGUGGUUUAAUUCGAUGCAACGCGAAGAACCUUACCUGGUCUUGACAUAGUGAGAAUCUUUCAGAGAUGAGAGAGUGCCUUUGGGAACUCACAUACAGGUGCUGCAUGGCUGUCGUCAGCUCGUGUCGUGAGAUGUUGGGUUAAGUCCCGCAACGAGCGCAACCCUUUUCCUUAUUUGCCAGCGGGUUAAGCCGGGAACUUUAAGGAUACUGCCAGUGACAAACUGGAGGAAGGCGGGGACGACGUCAAGUCAUCAUGGCCCUUACGACCAGGGCUACACACGUGCUACAAUGGUAGGUACAGAGGGUUGCUACACAGCGAUGUGAUGCGAAUCUCAAAAAGCCUAUCGUAGUCCGGAUUGGAGUCUGCAACUCGACUCCAUGAAGUCGGAAUCGCUAGUAAUCGCGGAUCAGAAUGCCGCGGUGAAUACGUUCCCGGGCCU